CCUACGGGAGGCAGCAGUGGGGAAUAUUGCACAAUGGGGGAAACCCUGAUGCAGCGACGCCGCGUGAGCGAUGAAGUCUUUCGGUAUGUAAAGCUCUAUCAUCAGGGAAGAAAAUUACGGUACCUUACUAAGAAGCCCCGGCUAACUACGUCCCAGACGCCUGGGUAAUACGUAGGGGCCAGGCUUUUUCCGGAUGUACUGGUUGUAAGGGGGACUUAGUCGGGUAGGCAAGCCAGGUGGGAAAGCCCAGGGCUAAACCCCGGAAGUGCAUUUGGUACUGUUUAGCUGGAGUGCCGGAGAGGCGGGAGGAAUGCGUAGUGUAGCGGUGAAAUGCAUAGAUAUUAGGAAGAACACCGGUGGCGAAGGCAGCCUGCUGAUCGGUGAUUGACGUUGAGGCACGAAAGCGUGGGGAGCAAACAGGAUUAGAUACCCCAGUAGUC
rnacentral:rRNA from 1 species